GUCAGCAUGGUGUAGUGGUUAGAGCACUGGACUAUGAUUCUGGUGACCGAAGUUCAAAUCCUGGCUCUUUUA